CACGGGGGGAGCAAGCGUUGUUCGGAAUCACUGGGCGUAAAGGGCGUGUAGGCGGUCAGGUAAGUGAGAUGUGAAAUGCCCCGGCUCACCCGGGGACCGGCAUCUCAUACUGCUUGGCUUGAGUACGGGAGAGGAUGUGGGAAUUCCUGGUGUAGCGGUGAAAUGCGUAGAUAUCAGGAAGAACACCCGUGGCUAAGGCGGCUCUCUAGUACGGUACUGACGCUGAGACGCGAAAGCGUGGGGAGCGAACAGG
rnacentral:rRNA from 1 species